rnacentral:rRNA from 1 species
GAUGAACGCUGGCGGCGUGCCUAAUACAUGCAAGUCGAGCGAACAGACGAGGAGCUUGCUCCUCUGACGUUAGCGGCGGACGGGUGAGUAACACGUGGAUAACCUACCUAUAAGACUGGGAUAACUUCGGGAAACCGGAGCUAAUACCGGAUAAUAUAUUGAACCGCAUGGUUCAAUAGUGAAAGACGGUUUUGCUGUCACUUAUAGAUGGAUCCGCGCCGCAUUAGCUAGUUGGUAAGGUAACGGCUUACCAAGGCAACGAUGCGUAGCCGACCUGAGAGGGUGAUCGGCCACACUGGAACUGAGACACGGUCCAGACUCCUACGGGAGGCAGCAGUAGGGAAUCUUCCGCAAUGGGCGAAAGCCUGACGGAGCAACGCCGCGUGAGUGAUGAAGGCCUUCGGAUCGUAAAACUCUGUUAUUAGGGAAGAACAAAUGUGUAAGUAACUAUGCACGUCUUGACGGUACCUAAUCAGAAAGCCACGGCUAACUACGUG